GAUGAACGCUAGCGGCAGGCCUAACACAUGCAAGUCGAGGGGUAGAAGGAGCUUGCUCCUUUGAGACCGGCGCACGGGUGCGUAACGCGUAUGCAAUCUACCUUUUACAGAGGGAUAGCCAGAGAAAUUUGGAUUAAUACCUCAUAGUAUAUAUCAUUCGCAUGGUUGGUAUAUUAAAGUUCCAACGGUAAAAGAUGAGCAUGCGUCCCAUUAGUUAGUUGGUAAGGUAACGGCUUACCAAGACGAUGAUGGGUAGGGGUCCUGAGAGGGAGAUCCCCCACACUGGUACUGAGACACGGACCAGACUCCUACGGGAGGCAGCAGUGAGGAAUAUUGGUCAAUGGACGCAAGUCUGAACCAGCCAUGCCGCGUGCAGGAAGACGGUCCUAUGGAUUGUAAACUGCUUUUGUACGGGAAGAAACACUCCUACGUGUAGGAGCCUGACGGUACCGUAAGAAUAAGGAUCGGCUAACUCCGUGCCAGCAGCCGCCGUAAUAC
rnacentral:rRNA from 1 species